rnacentral:rRNA from 1 species
UAGGGAAUCUUCGGCAAUGGACGGAAGUCUGACCGAGCAACGCCGCGUGAGUGAAGAAGGUUUUCGGAUCGUAAAGCUCUGUUGUAAGAGAAGAACGAGUGUGAGAGUGGAAAGUUCACACUGUGACGGUAUCUUACCAGAAAGGGACGGCUAACUACGUGCCAGCAGCCGCGGUAAUACGUAGGUCCCGAGCGUUGUCCGGGAUUAUUGGGCGUAAAGCGCGCGCAGGUGGUUUAGAAAGUCUGAUGUGAAAGCCCACGGCUCAACCGUGGAGGGUCAUUGGAAACUAAUAAACUUGAGUGCAGGAGAGAAAAGUGGAAUUCCUAGGGUAGCGGUGAAAUGCGUAGAGAUUAGGAGGAACACCGGUGGCGAAAGCGGCUUUUUGGCCUGCAACUGACACUGAGGCGCGAAAGCGUGGGGAGCAAACAGG